UGUCCAGCUGCCCAGCCCACCUACUGAGCCCCCGUCAGCAGCUCUGGACCGGUGACACUGGGGUGCCAGCGUGUGGAGGUGAGAUGGGGAAGGUGAUGCCUGACAGAACAUUUCAGCUCAUCUUGGUUGUCAUAGCAACAUGGCCCAUGAGCGGAGAACCUGGGAAAUUUCUUGAACGGCUCCCCGAAAGACGAAGACAUAGCAAUGAUUGAGGAAUAAUCUUAUUUACUGAGUAAGGAUGGACACAGGUGAUAUGGAAAGGGGCCUAUCAAAUCAUACAGGUUAUUAUGAAAAGUAAAGGAGUUUUAAAUGCUUUUUACUGUGCAUUAUUUCCAUCCUGCUUCAUCUACUUGGAAAACCUGCUGCUGUACCACCACAGUUUCCCAGUUUGUGAUCAAUAAAGAACAUCCAUCCAUCUAUAAAAGCCUGGUCACAUAAAGCUGUGGAGGGGCCUGUACCUUCCGAUUAGCUGCAGAGAUGUCAGGGUAGCAGACCAGGGUCUUUGGUCCUGUCAUCCUCACUGAUGCUUUGUGACAUGGCUGUCAGCGGUGUCCCCAUCCUGUUUCAUAUUUCAUACGGUGCAGCAGACCUGCCUGUCACAUCAGCCGAGGAGAGAGACAGUCAUCAGCUUAUAGACGAAGAAGCUACUGAGUUUUUGGGAUCCAGUCUGUGGUCUCUCACUGCUCUGAAGAAGUCAAACAGUGUCGCACCUGGGUAAUGUUCCGGUUUGUAUCACAUGGGGGCAGUGUUGAAGCAAGAACUCUGAAACCUAAGCUGUCUCUGAAACGACCAUGCAACAUUUUGCUCUCUGUGAAAUUUAUUUCCAACUGCUCUGAAUUCAAUGCAUGAUGUUGA